rnacentral:rRNA from 1 species
GACGAACGCUUUCGGCUUUCUUAACACAUGCAAGUCGAACGGAAAGGCCCUGCUUUUGUGGGGUGCUCGAGUGGCGAACGGGUGAGUAACACGUGAGUAACCUGCCCUUGACUUUGGGAUAACUUCAGGAAACUGGGGCUAAUACCGGAUAGGAGCUCCUGCUGCAUGGUGGGGGUUGGAAAGUUUCGGCGGUUGGGGAUGGACUCGCGGCUUAUCAGCUUGUUGGUGGGGUAGUGGCUUACCAAGGCUUUGACGGGUAGCCGGCCUGAGAGGGUGACCGGCCACAUUGGGACUGAGAUACGGCCCAGACUCCUACGGGAGGCAGCAGUGGGGAAUAUUGCACAAUGGGCGGAAGCCUGAUGCAGCAACGCCGCGUGCGGGAGGAAGGCCUUCGGGUUGUAAACCGCUUUCGCCUGUGACGAAGCGUGAGUGACGGUAAUGGGUAAAGAAGCAACGGCUAACUACGUG